rnacentral:rRNA from 1 species
AUUGAACGCUGGCGGCAUGCUUUACACAUGCAAGUCGGACGGCAGCACAGAGAAGCUUGCUUCUUGGGUGGCGAGUGGCGAACGGGUGAGUAGAAUAUUGGAAUGUACCGAGUAGAGGGGGAUAACUAAUCGAAAGAUUAGCUAAUACCGCAUACGUCUUGAGAGGGAAAGCAGGGGAUUUUCGGACCUUGCGCUAUUUGAGCAGCCAAUAUCGGAUUAGCUAGUUGGUGAGGUAAGGGCUUACCAAGGCGAUGAUCCGUAGCGGGUCUGAGAGGAUGAUCCGCCACACUGGGACUGAGACACGGCCCAGACUCCUACGGGAGGCAGCAGUGGGGAAUUUUGGACAAUGGGGGCAACCCUGAUCCAGCCAUGCCGCGUGUCUGAAGAAGGCCUUCGGGUUGUAAAGGACUUUUGUUAGGGAAGAAAAGGCAUUUGCUAAUAACAGAUGCUGAUGACGGUACCUAAAGAAUAAGCACCGGCUAACUACGUGCCAGCAGCCGCGGUAAUACGUAGGGUGCGAGCGUUAAUCGGAAUUACUGGGCGUAAAGCGAGCGCAGACGGUUAAUUAAGCCAGAUGUGAAAUCCCCGAGCUUAACUUGGGACGUGCAUUUGGAACUGGUUAGCUAGAGUAUGUCAGAGGGGGGUAGAAUUCCACGUGUAGCAGUGAAAUGCGUAGAGAUGUGGAGGAAUACCGAUGGCGAAGGCAGCCCCCUGGGAUAAUACUGACGUUCAUGCUCGAAAGCGUGGGUAGCAAACAGG